rnacentral:rRNA from 1 species
UACGGAGGGAGCUAGCGUUGUUCGGAAUUACUGGGCGUAAAGCGCGCGUAGGCGGCUUUGUAAGUUAGAGGUGAAAGCCCGGGGCUCAACCCCGGAACUGCCUUUAAAACUGCAUCGCUUGAAUCCGGGAGAGGUGAGUGGAAUUCCGAGUGUAGAGGUGAAAUUCGUAGAUAUUAGGAGGAAUACCAGUAGCGAAGGCGGCUCUCUGGACUGUAACUGACACUGAGGCACGAAAGCGUGGGGAGCAAACAGG